CGGGCUUCAUUCUCGGAUUGGAAUUAUGAAUUCCAUUUCCGAUGGUUUCUCGUGGACCAUUCUGAAAUGCAUACAUGGCGACCAAAAGAUUCAUUCCGGAUUGGUUGCUUUGAAAGCUGAAUGCAAGUUGAAACUGGCAGAUGCACUUACAAUUAUGGAGGAGUGUUUUCUUCCCAUGGUGGAUCCAAGAACAGACAUUGAUAUGAUCCCACAUGUUUUAUACAAUUGGGGAUCAGAAUUUGCACGUCUGAACUAUGAGGGGUUCUAUACAGUGAUCUUGGAGAAAAAUGACGUAAUACUUUGUGUAGCAUCAUUAAGGUAUACAAAUUGGUGAUAUUUUCUAGCAUUGAAUAGUAAAUGGCCAUUUUGCCCUUUGACCUUUUUAACCCUAUGUUUGAAAUUUGUGUUCAUGAUUCAUGGGGUAAAUGUUGCGGAGAUGCCUUUAAUUGCAACAUGCAGCAAAUGUCAGGGAAUGUGUAGGCGUCUCAUGAAUGCUAUUGAAGAGAUGCUCAAGUCAUUCAAGGUUGAGAAGCUGGUGGUAUCUGCGAUCCCCAGUGUGGUUGACACGUGGAGGGAUGGAUUUGGAUUCACAGCCUUGGAAUCCCAUGAAAAAAAAGAGCCUCACAAAAAAUAGUUCUUUUCCUACAGUGAUGAAGGAGAAAAGAUUUCACUGCUACUAGAAAAAGCUGCAUAACCACCAUUUCAUGUGCAAAAGACAAGAAUGCCCUUCUCAUUAAACAUAAAACCUAAAUGAUGUCAUUUGGUAGGCAAGUAGGCAGUUAGAGAUGCAAAAGUCAAUUAAAAUGGCCUUAGAGGAAGCUAGUCACAAGGCCUCCCCACAAUCUAUAUCACAUUCUUUUGUAACUAUUAUUUGUGUACAGUUUAUAAAAUGAGUAAGGCAGUUAGAAUUGGAAUACUUACU